rnacentral:rRNA from 1 species
AUUGAACGCUGGCGGCAUGCCUUACACAUGCAAGUCGAACGGCAGCACGGGAGCAAUCCUGGUGGCGAGUGGCGAACGGGUGAGUAAUGUAUCGGAACGUACCUUUCAGUGGGGGAGUAACGUAGCGAAGUUACGCUAAUACCGCAUAUUCUGUGAGCAGGAAAGACAGGGGAGUCGCAAGACCUUGCGCUGAUUGAGCGGCCGAUAUCAGAUUAGCUAGUUGGUGAGGUAAAGGCUCACCAAGGCGACGAUCUGUAGCGGGUCUGAGAGGAUGAUCCGCCACACUGGAACUGAGACACGGUCCAGACUCCUACGGGAGGCAGCAGUGGGGAAUUUUGGACAAUGGGCGCAAGCCUGAUCCAGCCAUGCCGCGUGAGUGAAGAAGGCC